UACUACUACUGACCUCCAUUGUCGGUUCUGCAAUCUUCUGAUGAAUUGAAUUGCAUUGGAAGAAGAAUGAAGAUAGUGACGUACAACGUGAACGGUUUAAGGCCACGCAUACAGCAGUACGGUUCACUUCUCAAAUUGUUGGAUUCACUUGAUGCUGAUAUUAUCUGUUUUCAGGAGACUAAGUUGUCGAAGCAUGAUCUUAGAGCCGAUUUGGUUCGUGCUGAAGGUUAUGAGUCUUUCUUCUCUUGUUGCACUCGUACUUCUGAUCGUGGACGCUCUUCUGGAUAUUCCGGUGUUGCUACCUUUUGUCGUGUAAAAUCUGCAUUCAUGAGCAAUGAAGUAGCUUUGCCAAUUUCUGCAGAAGAAGGCUUCACUGGUCUCCUCGCAACAUCUAAAGGAUAUGAACCUAGAAAGGAGAAGUGCCCUUCAAUAGCUGAAGGCCUCGAGUGCUUUUCUAGAGAUGAGCUUCUUAUAGUUGAUAGUGAGGGACGUUGUCUGAUCACUGAUCAUGGUCAUUUUGUUCUAUUCAAUUUAUAUGGGCCCAGAGCUGUUCAAGAUGACUCUGAAAGAAUCCAAUUUAAGCUCACAUUUUUUAAGAUGUUAGAGAGAAGAUGGGAGUGCCUCAUGCAUCAAGGAAGGAGGAUUAUUAUUGUAGGUGACCUCAAUAUUGCUCCUGCUUCCAUAGAUCGGUGCGACGCAGAACCUGAUUUUGAGAAGAACGUGUUCAGACAAUGGUUUAGAUCAUUGCUAGUGCAAAAUGGAGGGCGUCUCCUUGAUAUUUUUAGAGCAAAGCAUCCUGAUAGAAAAGGAGCCUAUACUUGCUGGUCACAGAGUACAGGAGCCGAGGAAUUUAAUUAUGGUUCUAGGAUUGAUCACAUACUUAGUGCCAGAUCAUGCUUGCAUGGUGAGGAAACUCAGGAAGGGCAUGACUUUGUUACUUGCAAUGUUGCAGAGUGUGACAUAUUGAUGCAAUUUCAAAGGUGCAAACCUGGAAAUACGCCAAGGUGGAAAGGAGGGAGGAGCAUCAAAUUAGAAGGUUCUGAUCAUGUUCCAGUUUACAUGACUUUAGUAGAUAUUCCUGAAGUAUUGGAGCAUAGCACCCCGCCAUUAUCUACCAGAUAUCAUCCCCAGGUCUUUGGGAGUCAAACUCUUGUGCAGUGUCAAUGUUCACGAGAAGGCAAACAACUGAGCAAGUUAUUUCAGAGGAAAGUGAAAGCCGUCAGAUUCCAAGUCAGGAAGACUUUCUCUCAACUCCAGAGAAAUAUGGUAGUAGAGCUUCUCAGAUUUCGGUGCUUGGCUCUCAAAGCAACGCUAAUAUUCUUCCCUGCAUUGCGACCAAGAAGAAAGCGAGGCUUGGUCAGGGGUCUCAGCUCACACUUAACUCAUUCUUCCAGAAACGCACACAUAGAAGUGAGACUUCUAGCAGCAGCUUUGCUGAUUCUAAACUUUGUCAGACAGACAUAUCUUAUUCUCAGAUUGAGCCUGAUGGAGUGCCUUCUGCUGCUGAUGAAAGUGGCGCUUCAAAGGACUGCAGAUCAAGUGCAAUUGACAAUAAUCAACAUAAGUGCCAGCUAGAUGCAUGCGACUCAGAUAAAGAGAAGAGAAAAGUGGCAUUACAGGAGUGGCAAAGGAUUCAGCAAUUGAUGCAGAAUAGUGUACCUCUUUGUAAGGGCCAUCAAGAACCUUGUGUUCCUCGGGUCGUUAAAAAAGCAGGGCCCAAUUUGGGCCGCAGAUUUUAUGCCUGUGCUCGAGCUGAGGGACCUUCAUCAAAUCCUGAAGCAAAUUGCGGUUACUUCAAAUGGGCUGCUGUUUUAAAAUCCAAGGGAAAAGGAAAAUGAAGUCUCCACUGCAUAUAUUCACCUACAUGAUAAUGAGAGUUCAGGUUAGCAAAUU